UUGGGAUGAGAUAUGAAAAAUUUUAUUUGCAUUGAGAUUCUCCUCUCAUAUGGACCAACCAACACCUAAAAUGGUGCUGGUUUGGGGCAUCCCAUGUGGGUGAGGGAGUAGGUGCAAAGUAAUUGUCAUGAGUGAUGACAAUUCUAUCUCAUGUAGCAAUUCUUAUUUCAUGGACUGAUUCAAAUCAGAUUUAAGUUAGAACUCCUAUACUUAUUGGGUCAUAAAAUUUAUUUAUAAAUAGAGAGGAUCUCUACCUAUAGAUGCAUAAAAAAUAGCAAAUAAAUCAGAUUGAGAGAAGAGAGAAAGAGAGAGAGAAGUGUGAGAAGAGAGAAGCCCUUCUUCUUUUCCUUAGCCUCUCUCCUUUGGUGCCGCCCCUUCUUCCUUGGGCGUGGGCCCUCCUUGGGCAUUCCACCUGC
rnacentral:lncRNA from 1 species